rnacentral:lncRNA from 1 species
GCAGGGUGGAGUCGCUGCUGGGACCCUGCAGGCAGUCCGUGCUUGAGCGUGGAAGUGACCGGGUCCACCAGAGCCGGCAGCGACGCGGCCCCAGAAGUUGGGCGGCGGGUGCUGGGCGCGAGCGUUCCCGAGCCGGGCGGGGUAUCGGGCAGUGACGGGUGGGACGGAGGACCCCGGCGGUCUCCCAGACAAAGGGGGCGGCCAGGGAGGCGGCGGCCGCGGGGCCUCCAGGCGCCCCCAGGCGCCCCCAGGCUGGAGGAGGAGCCGGGGCUAAGGGGAGGAGGGGGCGGUGCCCGGGCCCCGCAGGCACGUGCCGCGCCCUCCCGGGGACCCGCGCCCGCCCGCCACCGUCAGUACCGGCCUCGUCUGGGCGGCCCGUCACGUCGCAGACGGGCGGCCUCCCGGGGGGACGGGGUAGGCCCCAGACCCAUAGCCUGGGGGCCACCGCGGGAGCCGACGAGCGUCCGGGUGCGCUGGGCGCGGGCGCCGAGAGCCGAGAGCCGGAGGGCGGGGUCCCGCCCCUGCCUGGGCGCGGCGCCCCGCCCCCGCCACCUGGGAGCCCCGCCCCGCCCCCGCCACCUGGGGGAUCCCGCCUCCGCCGGCGCGGUCGGGACGGGGUCUCCCGGAACCGCAGCCCCCCACCGUUUCCUCCCGGCCUCGCGGUCGCCCCUGCACUUCCGGCGCGGGACCCCCGCCCCCGCCCCCGCCCCCGCCCUCGCCCGCCCCACGCGCAGUUUCGAGCCCCCGGGGGCCGAGCCACUCACCGCGCCAAGUCCCCGCCGUGACCUCGCGCCGCCUGGGCGCAGCUCCGGGUGGUCUCAGGGUCCGCGCCCCCCGCCCGGCCCCACCCCACCCGCUCCCCGCCGUCCAAUCCGUCGCCGAGCUCCAAGCCACGCCCUGAUCCGACCGGGCUCCCACCGCCGGGACCCCCGCCCCGCCUCCGCUUCCCCGGCCCCGAGAUACCGCGCGCGCGGCCCCCGGGGCCCCACGGACCUCUCCGGCCCCAGCUGA